UUGGGUUAGUCCCGCAACNCAGCGCAACCCUUGAUCUUAGUUGCCAGCAUUCAGUUGGGCACUCUAAGGUGACUGCCGGUGACAAACCGGAGGAAGGUGGGGAUGACGUCAAAUCAUCAUGCCCCUUAUGACCUGGGCUACACACGUGCUACAAUGGAUGGUACAAAGGGCUGCGAGACCGCGAGGUUUAGCCAAUCCCAUAAAACCAUUCUCAGUUCGGAUUGCAGGCUGCAACUCGCCCGCAUGAAGCUGGAAUCGCUAGUAAUCGCGGAUCAGCAUGCCGCGGUGAAUACGUUCCCGGGCCUUGUACACACCGCCCGUCACACCACGAGAGUUUGCAACACCCGAAGUCGGUGGGGUAACCGCAAGGAGCCAGCCGCCUAAGGUGGGGUAGAUGAUUGGGGUGAAGUCGUAACAAGGUAACCA
rnacentral:rRNA from 1 species